GCCCCCGUAGCCCAGACCGGUUAGGGCGUCAGCCUUGUAAGCUGACGGUCGCGGGUUCAAAUCCCGCCGGGGGCU
rnacentral:tRNA from 1 species